UACGAAGGGUGCAAGCGUUAAUCGGAAUUACUGGGCGUAAAGGGUGCGUAGGCGGUUGUUUAAGUCUAUCGUGAAAUCCCCGGGCUCAACCUGGGAAUGGCGAUGGAUACUGGGCAGCUAGAGUGUGUCAGAGGAUGGUGGAAUUCCCGGUGUAGCGGUGAAAUGCGUAGAGAUCGGGAGGAACAUCAGUGGCGAAGGCGGCCAUCUGGGACAACACUGACGCUGAAGCACGAAAGCGUGGGGAGCAAACAGG
rnacentral:rRNA from 1 species